rnacentral:rRNA from 1 species
AACGUAGGUGGCGAGCGUUAUCCGGAUUUACUGGGCGUAAAGCGUGUGCAGGUGGCCUGUUAAGUGGUGUAUGAAAUCGCCCGGCUCAACCGGGCGGGGUUAUGCCAGACUGGCAGGCUAGAGGGUGGGAGAGGGAUGUGGAAUUCCGGGUGUAGUGGUGAAAUGCGUAGAGAUCCGGAGGAACACCGAAGGCGAAGGCAGUGUCCUGGGGAGUACCUGACGCUCAGGUGCGAAAGCCAGGGGAGCGAACGGG